rnacentral:rRNA from 1 species
CGGGAAACUGAGGCUAAUCCCGGAUAGCGUUUCCAACCUGGAGUGGUGGAAACGCCAAACGCUCCGGCGCCACAGGAUGUGACUGCGGCCGAUUAGGUAGACGGUGGGGUAACGGCCCACCGUGCCGAUAAUCGGUACGGGUAGUGAGAGCUAGAGCCCGGAGACGGACUCUGAGACAAGAGUCCGGGCCCUACGGGGCGCAGCAGGCGCGAAACCUUUACACUGCGCGCGAGCGCGAUAGGGGGAUCCCAAGUGCGAGGGCAUACAGUCCUCGCUUUUUCCUACCGUAAGGUGGUAGGCGAAUAAGAGCUGGGCAAGACCGGUGCCAGCCGCCGCGGUAAUACCGGCAGCUCGAGUGAUGGCCGAUUUUAUUGGGCCUAAAGCGUCCGUAGCCGGCUAGACAGGUCCGUCGGGAAAUCCACCCGCUCAACGGGUGGGCGUCCGGCGGAAACCAGCUAGCUUGGGACCGAGCGACCUGAGGGGUACGUCUGGGGUAGGAGUGAAAUCCUGUAAUCCCGGACGGACCACCGGUGGCGAAAGCGCCUCAGGAGAGCGGAUCCGACGGUGAGGGACGAAAGCUAGGGUCUCGAACCGGAUUAGAUACCCGGGU